CAGAGGAUAGUUUAGUUAAAAAUUCCAGCUUUGGGAGCUGGGGAUAAAGGUUCGAUUCCUUUUCUUCUGA
rnacentral:tRNA from 1 species